rnacentral:rRNA from 1 species
UCGAGGAUCUUCGGCAAUGGGCGCAAGCCUGACCGAGCGACGCCGCGUGUGCGAUGAAGGCCUUCGGGUUGUAAAGCACUGUCGAGGGGGAGAAAAGCCCGCAAGGGCCUGAUCUAUCCCUGGAGGAAGCACGGGCUAAGUUCGUGCCAGCAGCCGCGGUAAGACGAACCGUGCGAACGUUGUUCGGAAUCACUGGGCUUAAAGGGCGCGUAGGCGGGCCAGCAAGUCAGGGGUGAAAUACUUCGGCUUAACCGGAGAAUGGCUUCUGAUACUGUUGGCCUCGAGGGGUGUAGGGGCAUGUGGAACUUCCGGUGGAGCGGUGAAAUGCGUAGAUAUCGGAAGGAACGCCGGUGGCGAAAGCGACGUGCUGGACACCUACUGACGCUGAGGCGCGAAAGCCAGGGGAGCAAACGGGAUUAGAUACCCCCGUAGUCC